rnacentral:rRNA from 1 species
AUUGAACGCUGGCGGCAGGCCUAACACAUGCAAGUCGAGCGGAUGAAGGGAGCUUGCUCCUGGAUUCAGCGGCGGACGGGUGAGUAAUGCCUAGGAAUCUGCCUGGUAGUGGGGGAUAACGUCCGGAAACGGGCGCUAAUACCGCAUACGUCCUGAGGGAGAAAGUGGGGGAUCUUCGGACCUCACGCUAUCAGAUGAGCCUAGGUCGGAUUAGCUAGUUGGUGGGGUAAAGGCCUACCAAGGCGACGAUCCGUAACUGGUCUGAGAGGAUGAUCAGUCACACUGGAACUGAGACAGGGUCCAGACUGCUAAGGGAGGCAGCAGUGGGGAAUAUUGGACAAUGGGCGAAAGCCUGAUCCAGCCAUGCCGCGUGUGUGAAGAAGGUCUUCGGAUUGUAAAGCACUUUAAGUUGGGAGGAAGGGCAGUAAGUUAAUACCUUGCUGUUUUGACGUUACCAACAGAAUAAGCACCGGCUAACUUCGUG